rnacentral:rRNA from 1 species
GUGAAGAAGGCCUUCGGGUUGUAAAGCACUUUCAGUUGUGAGGAAAGGUUUGCGGUUAAUACCCGUAAGCUGUGACGUUAGCAACAGAAGAAGGACCGGCUAACUCCGUGCCAGCAGCCGCGGUAAUACGGAGGGUCCGAGCGUUAAUCGGAAUUACUGGGCGUAAAGCGCACGCAGGCGGUUUGUUAAGCUAGAUGUGAAAGCCCCGGGCUCAACCUGGGAAUAGCAUUUAGAACUGGCAGGCUAGAGUCUUGGAGAGGGGAGUGGAAUUUCUGGUGUAGCGGUGAAAUGCGUAGAUAUCAGAAGGAACAUCAGUGGCGAAGGCGACUCCCUGGCCAAAGACUGACGCUCAUGUGCGAAAGUGUGGGUAGCGAACAGGAUUAGAUACCCUGGUAG